rnacentral:tRNA from 1 species
GGACUCAUAGCUCAAUGGCAGAGCAGUCGGCUCUUAACCGAUGUGUUAAAGGUUCAAGUCCUUUUGAGUCCA